AAAUAUCGAAGGAAUCAUGAAAAAUCCAAAGGUUUUGACGGUUGUUCCUCGAUAACUAAUGACAUGGCAGUCACAAGCUUUCCAAACCAAAAAUGAACAAGCUCCCUGAGAGUUGUUCUAAGAAGAAAAAAAAGAAAAGAAAACCUACUAAGCCGAACACCUAAAAAAAGUAACUUAGGGAUAAAUCAGGGCAUCCCGGUGGACUAAAAGCUUUAAUGAAGUCGUCCAUGCAAAAAUUA
rnacentral:lncRNA from 1 species